rnacentral:rRNA from 1 species
AUUGAACGCUGGCGGAAUGCUUUACACAUGCAAGUCGAACGGCAGCACGGGGGCAACCCUGGUGGCGAGUGGCGAACGGGUGAGUAAUGCAUCGGAACGUACCCAAUCGUGGGGGAUAACGUGGCGAAAGUCACGCUAAUACCGCAUACGUCCUGAGGGAGAAAGCAGGGGAUCGCAAGACCUUGCGCGAUUGGAGCGGCCGAUGUCUGAUUAGCUAGUUGGUGGGGUAAAAGCCUACCAAGGCGACGAUCAGUAGCUGAUCUGAGAGGAUGAUCAGCCACACUGGGACUGAGACACGGCCCAGACUCCUACGGGAGGCAGCAGUGGGGAAUUUUGGACAAUGGGCGAAAGCCUGAUCCAGCCAUUCCGCGUGAGUGAAGAAGGCCU